rnacentral:lncRNA from 1 species
AUUCUCAUUCAUAAGGCAAGCUAAUCUUCCUAUCAUUUUUCUUCCUUCCUUCCUUCCUUCCUUCCUUCCUUCCUUCCUUCCUUCCUUCCUUCCUUCCUUCCUUCCUUCCUUCCUUUCCUUCCUUCCUCCCUUCUCCCUCUCUCUCUCUCUUUCUCUUUCUUUCUUUCUUUCUUUCUUUCUUUCUUUCUUUCUUUCUUUCUUUCUUUCUUUCUUUCUUUCUUUCUUUCUUUCUUUCUUUCUUUCUUUCUUUCUUUCUUUCUUUCUUUCUUUCUUUCUUUCUUUCUUUCUUUCUUUCUUUCUUUCUUUCUUUCUUUCUUUCUUUCUUUCUUUCUUUCUUUCUUUCUUUCUUUCUUUCUUUCUUUCCUUUCUCCCUUACCUUCAUUUUAUAAUCAAUACUGUGCAUUAGUUCCAAGGGUAAUAAGGGCUAGGCAAUGAGGGU